CCAGCCUAAACCUAAAGGUCUCUAUAGUUACCCAGCCUAAACCCAAAGGUCUCUAUAGUUACCCAGCCUAAACCUAAAGGUCUCUAUAGUUACCCAGCCUAAAGGUCUCUAUAGUUACCCAGCCUAAACCUAAAGGUCUCUAUAGUUACCCAGCCUAAACCUAAAGGUCUCUAUAGUUACCCAGCCUAAACCCAAAGGUCUCUGUAGUUACCCAGCCUAAAGGUCUCUAUAGUUACCCAGCCUAAACCUAAAGGUCUCUGUAGCUACCCAGCCUAAAGGUCUCUAUAGUUACCCAGCCUAAACCUAAAGGUCUCUAUAGUUACCCAGCCUAAACCUAAAGGUCUCUAUAGUUACCCAGCCUAAAGGUCUCUAUAGUCACCCAGCCUAAACCUAAAGGUCUCUAUAGUUACCCAGCCUAAACCUAAAGGUCUCUGUAGUUACCCAGCCUAAACCUAAAGGUCUCUAUAGUUACCCAGCCUAAAGGUCUCUAUAGUUACCCAGCCUAAACCCAAAGGUCUCUAUAGUUACCCAGCCUAAACCCAAAGGUCUCUAUAGUUACCCAGCCUAAACCUAAAGGUCUCUAUAGUUACCCAGCCUAAAGGUCUCUGUAGUUACCCAGCCUAAACCUAAAGGUCUCUAUAGUUACCCAGCCUAAACCUAAAGGUCUCUAUAGUUACCCAGCCUAAACCCAAAGGUCUCUAUAGUUACCCAGCCUAAACCUAAAGGUCUCUAUAGUUACCCAGCCUAAACCCAAAGGUCUCUAUAGUUACCCAGCCUAAAGGUCUCUGUAGUUACCCAGCCUAAAGGUCUCUAUAGUUACCCAGCCUAAACCUAAAGGUCUCUAUAGUUACCCAGCCUAAACCUAAAGGUCUCUGUAGUUACCCAGCCUAAACCUAAAGGUCUCUAUAGUUACCCAGCCUAAACCUAAAGGUCUCUGUAGUUACCCAGCCUAAACCUAAAGGUCUCUAUAGUUACCCAGCCUAACCCUAACCCUAACCCUAAACCUAAUGGGCUCUACAUUUACCCAGCCUAAACCUAAAGAGCUCUACAGUUACCCAGCCUAAACCUAAAGAGCUCUAUAGUUACCCAGCCUAAACCCAAGGUCUCUAUAGUUACCCAGCCUAAACCCAAAGGUCUCUAUAGUUACCCAGCCUAAACCCAAAGGUCUCUAUAGUUACCCAGCCUAAACCCAAAGGUCUCUGUAGUUACCCAGCCUAAAGGUUUCUAUAGUUACCCAGCCUAAACACAAAGGUCUCUAUAGUUACCCAGCCUAAACACAAAGGUCUCUAUAGUUACCCAGCCUAAACCCAAAGGUCUCUAUAGUUACCCAGCCUAAAGGUCUCUAUAGUUACCCAGCCUAAACCCAAAGGUCUCUAUAGUUACCCAGCCUAAACCCAAAGGUCUCUAUAGUUACCCAGCCUAAACCCAAAGGUCUCUGUAGUUACCCAGCCUAAAGGUCUCUAUAGUUACCCAGCCUAAACCCAAAGGUCUCUAUAGUUACCCAGCCUAAAGGUCUCUAUAGUUACCCAGCCUAAACCCAAAGGUCUCUAUAGUUACCCAGCCUAAACCCAAAGGUCUCUGUAGUUACCCAGCCUAAAGGUCUCUAUAGUUACCCAGCCUAAAGGUCUCUAUAGUUACCCAGCCUAACGGUCUCUAUAGUUACCCAGCCUAAACCUAAAGAGCAAGCGAAGCAGAAGCACAGACAGGUUCCUCCAGCUAACACCAUCUCUCUGUUCCCUCUAUGGUUGUGCAGGUGGUUGAGCUGUCCGAGAGGGCGACUCUGGACAAGGCCAUGGUAGAGCUAUGGGGUCUGGAGGACUACAUUUGGGGGAGGGGCCUCCGCAGGAACUGAGGAAGUAAUCGGACAACCAGGAACAAUACACACACACACAGAGACACACGCGUUACCGUGACUAGAUAUACACAGUCCUGCGUUACAGUGACUACAUAUACACAGUCCUGCGUUACAGUGACUACAUAUACACAGCCCUGCGUUACAGUGACUACAUAUACACAGCCCUGCGUUACCGUGACUACAUUUACACAGCCCUGCGUUACCGUGACUACAUUUACCGUCUUGAUGUCACAUUUACUGGUUUUACCCUCGUGAGCUGUCGUUGCUUGUAGCCAUAUUCCCUUAGACAUGUUCUGACACGUCCCCUGUUGUUUGUCCAUUUCUUCAUCUACUUUGGAUAACUGUCAACAAUUUGAUUGACUUGGAAUUUUGAACUUGUCCAAUAUUCAGUUGGGGAGAAUAUUUGCGUCCACUGUUGCUGCUAGUACUGCAUGUUAUGUUAUGUUGCUACUAGUACUACAUGUUCUGUUACUACUAGUACUAUAUGUUAUGUUUCUGCUAGUACUAUAUGUUAUGUUUCUGCUAGUACUAUAUGUUAUGUUGCUACUAGUACUACAUGUUCUCUUUCUGCUAGUACUAUAUGUUAUGUUACUGCUAGUACUACAUGUUCUGUUUCUGCUAGUACUACAUGUUCUGUUACUACUAGUACUACAUGUUCUGUUACUGCUAGUACUACAUGUUAUUUGACUGCUAGUACUGCAUGUUCUUUCUGUACU
ensembl:lncRNA